rnacentral:rRNA from 1 species
UACGUAGGGUGCAAGCGUUGUCCGGAAUUAUUGGGCGUAAAGAGUUCGUAGGCGGUCUGUCGCGUCGGAUGUGAAAACUCGGGGCUCAACCCCGGGCCUGCAUUCGAUACGGGCAGACUAGAGUUCGGCAGGGGAGACUGGAAUUCCUGGUGUAGCGGUGAAAUGCGCAGAUAUCAGGAGGAACACCGGUGGCGAAGGCGGGUCUCUGGGCCGAAACUGACGCUGAGGAGCGAAAGCGUGGGGAGCAAACAGG